rnacentral:rRNA from 1 species
UACGUAGGGCGCAAGCGUUAUCCGGAAUUAUUGGGCGUAAAGAGCUCGUAGGCGGUUUGUCGCGUCUGCCGUGAAAGUCCGGGGUUCAACUCCGGAUCUGCGGUGGGUACGGGCAGACUAGAGUGAUGUAGGGGAGACUGGAAUUCCUGGUGUAGCGGUGAAAUGCGCAGAUAUCAGGAGGAACACCGAUGGCGAAGGCAGGUCUCUGGGCCACUACUGACGCUGAGAAGCGAAAGCAUGGGGAGCGAACAGG